CUCACCAUAAAUUACACCCGUUCACACCCCUUUUCCGUUGAUAUUUCCAUUUUGGUUUUCGAUUCCGGUGAACGUCUGUCACAUUUGCACGCCGUUUGCCUCGUUUGGUUUGUUUGCCUGUGGAUUCAUAAUUGCAGCAGCUCGCAAGGAUUAACCAUGUCAGGGCAACUAAUUUGCAUAUCCGAAAAGGGACAGCGAACGGAAGUCAAUGGAGGUUAAAUUAUGACAGGAGGCGCAUGUGUCAAAAAGUAAACAACUCGGCAUUUGCAUAGGCAAAUUAAAAUGGCUUAGUGCUUCUUUAUUGGCCGCUGUGGAAAGGUAAACAAUUUUGCCAAAGUAUUAGCUGGAUUUUCGAAGGGCAUCCUUGGGACUUUGGAGUGGAGCAAGAUGGUCUGCAUUUCUUUUCAUUUUACGGAACGUGACCCAGCCUGUUCGAGAGGCUUACGGAUUGGCGUCCGCGUCCGGGUUUAUGGCCACAAAAACGAAUACAGAUACGGAUACGGGAUACGCUUAAUUGCCACAGCCUUUUCCACGCGGCUCGCUCGUAAAUCUCAACAGGCAGCCACAUCAGGACAAAUUAAUACGGGCGCAGCAGUCCAUGGAGCUCCAUUCAUUGCGGUCAUGUAGCGUCUUAGCCGCAUAUCCCUUAAAUGAUGUACCAAGGAGUGCUCGAGGGUCGGGGCUCGAAUAUCAGAUACCUCGCGGAAGAAGGUUCUAUUUUUAUUUCCCUCGCCUUUGGAAUAUUACUCUCUAUAUUCUCUAUAUUUCAAAAGAACUGUAGAACUGAGUAUGAGAAUAAUCCAUGCUAGAUAGUUCUCACAAGCCAAUCCAGAUCCCAUCAUACCACUUCCGCCCACUUUUCGAUGGGUAUUAAAAGAAGCUGGAUGAAGAAACAGCAGCAGUGCAAAAAAAAAGGAAAUGAAAAUGCCAGCAAAAUUGUAGAAAAAAGGCCAAACGAUGGCCAUAAAUGGAUCAACUCGCCAACUCGCGCACCUGAGGCCACGCAGGAUGCCAGGAUGGCAGGAUAACAGUGCAGGAGCAGGAGCAGAAGGAGCAGGACCCCUGGCAACUGGAAGGGCAAUAAUAGCCGGAGAGAGUGCCGCCGUUUUAUGGCCCAAACAUGCGUCCACAUCCCCGCAAGGAUACCACCACCACCACCUACGAGUACAUCUCCCUUCGGUUUCAGCUGCAACAAAUCAGUGCAAGGAUUUUUUUACGAUUAACUGCGUAAUUGAGUCGUUUGGCUAAGGAAGACGCAGCCACAGGACGAAUUCCGGCCAGGGUAAAUUUAAUUAAACUGUAAUAAAGCAAAUCCCGUUCCCGCCCUUUUUGUAAUGAGGGCUAAAUCGGGCUUAAGCAAACCGCCCACUA
rnacentral:sRNA from 1 species